UGGGGAAUUGUUCGCAAUGGGCGCAAGCCUGACGACGCAACGCCGCGUGGAGGACGAAGAUCUUCGGGUCGUAAACUCCUGUCGAGCGGGACGAACACUCAUCCGGUGAAUAUCCGGAAGGGCUGACGGUACCGCUAAAGGAAGCCCCGGCUAACUCCGUGCCAGCAGCCGCGGUAAUACGGGGGGGGCAAGCGUUGUUCGGAAUUACUGGGCGUAAAGGGCUCGUAGGCGGCCAACUAAGUCCGACGUGAAAUCCCCAGGCUUAACCUGGGAACUGCGUCGGAUACUGGAUGGCUUGAAUUCGGGAGAGGGAUGCAGAAUUCCAGGUGUAGCGGUGAAAUGCGUAGAUAUCUGGAGGAAUACCGGUGGCGAAGGCGGCAUCCUGGACCGACAUUGACGCUGAGUGAGCGAAAGCUAGGGGAGCAAACGG
rnacentral:rRNA from 1 species